ACCCUCCUGCCUUUUGUUCUCUGAGAGUUGUAUUUAUUUGCUUUGAGAGUGUGAAGAUGGAUUGAGCAUUUUUAGACAGUCGAGAGAUACUGAACGAGUAUUUUCUAUCUCAUGGUGAAAUGGUAGUGAAGAAGUUGCAGCGUUUUAAUGGUAAUUAUUUGAAAGGAAGGACUUAUUAUGGAAAUUAGGGUUUUAAAGUUGGAAAUCAACAGCAGUAACAUUCCAACCUUAAGGAUUUCCAUAAUUAGAUACAUACAUACGAUUUGAAAAUUUAAAGUUGAAGAACUCUUAGGAGACGAGGUAAUGCUUGCUGCCAAAUAGUAAUUUGAUAUGAUCGAUUACAGGGUCAUCCUUCUUCUCCCCUUUACCGGAAGUCAUUAUUGCUCUUUGAUCAGGGAGGAAGAUAUGAUUUUAUGUGUUUUAAUGAUUAGGGUUCACUUGAGGUUUAUAUUUCCUGCCAAGCUAAUCUCUAAAUCUAUGGGAUCAGAUGAAUCUCUAAAAUUUAGUUUUGGGACCAGUUGAAUCUAAUGAUUGUAUAGUAGAUGUUUGAAGUAUGUUAUGGUUUCUUUUCAUGUUAAAAUAUAUAGCUUUUUGCUAGUAGAUUAUCAUUUUUCGAGCUUUUCUGUUGAACAUACAAAUAUGUGGUCUCAAGUCUAGGAUGAGUUUGGGCUUGUUCCUGAUUUUUGUCUCAACUAAGCUAGAAAGUUUUGGUUUGUUUGUUAUGUAAGUAAGAGUUCCAUUGAAUGCAUGAGAAAAGCUUCUCUUAUU